GGAACAGGCCUGGCAGUCAUGUAGUGAGUGCCAAUACUAACAGAGUGGUGGGUGAGUGGAACAGGCCUGGCAGUCAUGUGGUGAGUGAGUGUCAAUACUAACAGAGUGGUGGGUGAGUGGAACAGGCCUGGCAGUCAUGUGGUGAGUGAGUGUCAAUACUAACAGAGUGGUGGGUGAGUGGAACAGGCCUGGCAGUCAUGUGGUGAGUGAGUGCCAAUACUAACAGAGUGGUGGGUGAGUGGAACAGGCCUGGCAGUCAUGUGGUGAGUGAGUGCCAAUACUAACAGAGUGGUGGAUGAGAGGAACAGGCCUGGCAGUCAUGUGGUGAGUGAGUGCCAAUACUAACAGAGUGGUGGGUGAGUGGAACAGGCCUGGCAGUCAUGUGGUGAGUGAGUGUCAAUACUAACAGAGUGGUGGAUGAGAGGAACAGGCCUGGCAGUCAUGUGGUGAGUGAGUGCCAAUACUAACAGAGUGGUGGGUGAGUGGAACAGGCCUGGCAGUCAUGUGGUGAGUGAGUGCCAAUACUAACAGAGUGGUGGGUGAGUGGAACAGGCCUGGCAGUCAUGUGGUGAGUGAGUGUCAAUACUAACAGAGUGGUGGGUGAGUGGAACAGGCCUGGCAGUCAUGUGGUGAGUGAGUGUCAAUACUAACAGAGUGGUGGGUGAGUGGAACAGGCCUGGCAGUCAUGUGGUGAGUGAGUGCCAAUACUAACAGAGUGGUAGGUGAGUGGAACAGGCCUGGCAGUCAUGUGGUGAGUGAGUGCCAAUACUAACAGAGUGGUGGGUGAGUGGAACAGGCCUGGCAGUCAUGUGGUGAGUGAGUGCCAAUACUAACAGAGUGGUGGGUGAGUGGAACAGGCCUGGCAGUCAUGUGGUGAGUGCCAAUACUAACAGAGUGGUGGGUGAGUGGAACAGGCCUGGCAGUCAUGUGGGGAGCGCCAAUGCAACAGACACCUCCAGGAAAAGACAGAUAUAGAUAUAGUCAUGGAUAGGGACGACAGGUGGCAUUACAUUUACAAGACGUACCAACUGGGCUCUUGCAGACUCACUACAUUCUUCACCGACCGACUUUCACAGGAGUAUAUACGGCGACAGAUGACAAAGAGCACAUGGGAAUAGACUACAGACAAGGCUGAGGUUAAGGAGGAGGACUUAUAGACUUAGGACAUUAUCACAAACACCGUCUCGUAAGAUUAGUGAGUAUAGGAGCUCUGAAUCACAAGAGGUGGGAACGCUAAAACCUAUGUAUAUGUUUACGUACCCACGACUAUAUGUAUACACAGUGGGCUCUUAUGCAUAUGAUAGAGAUUGAGUAUAUGAGGUAAAGAAAGGCAGGUGUAGAAGAGAUGUUAAGAGUGGAAUGAGGAAUAUGAGAGACCAGAGAGAGUGAGAGAUGAAAAAGGAACGCACAAUAACAUCCUUCCUUUGCAAUGAUGAGGUAAAGGAAGGCAAGUGUAAGAGAUAUAAAGGAAUGGAAUGAGGAAUAUAAGACUAGAGGGAGAGAGAGUGAGCAUGAAGGAGUACACAGUGGAAUUCCCUUGCCUAUAAAAGGAGUAAACAGGAGAUACAUACGACUUAAGGAAGGGAUACGAGAGAGAGAGAGAGAGAGAGAGAGAGAGAGAGAGAGAGAGAGAGAGAGAGAGACCACCACAACCAUCACCACCACCAUCAAACCACUCACUCGCAGACUCACUCACACACACAAGCAACGGAAAAACAAGUAACCAACCACACCUCUCUCUAAACACAAGGCUACGAGCAACACCGACUCAAUUAUUAACCAACUAAUCUAGCAGAAAUCUUGAUAACCGGGUACGAGGGUAUUUCUAAAGGUCGCUAUGCUUGUACCUCCUCUGUGGCCUUGGGAGAUAGUUCUUGAGAGAGCGGAAAGAAUCUGAGAAUGCUGCUUAUAAGAACGCUCAUUAGAACCCGACUGAUCUCCUUCGCGACUUUAGGAAAUGGUUGUUGUGAGAGCCGAGAGCAUCACACGAGACACACUAACACGUCAAUUUGAAUGUACUAAUAUUAAGCCAUCAUCGUUAACUUCUUCAGUGGAUGCCAAGAGCGUGUUGGGUUUAAUGAAGAGUAAAAACUGUUUAAAAGAUGUCGUUGGUCUUUCAGCUGGUAACUCCUGAUAUUUCGUCACAAGGGAGGGCUUGGAAUACGGUCAUCGCAGGUCAUUCAAGAAGUGAAGUAGUGGAAGCUUAAAACAACUCAAGACUCUAUGAACCAACACUCUCCCUCUCUCCCUCCACAAUGCAUCCUCUCCCUGUCCCCUCCCCUUCCUCCUCUCCCUGUACACCUUCAUCUCUCUCCCUCUUGUAGGUAAAAAAUAAGUAACCAUUCCCUUUAAUAACUAAGAGCAAUCGUGUUUCAGUGGCGCGCCUUGAGGGGGCAUUCCUUGUUCUUCUGCCUUGCCGCUCAACUCGGCUUUCCCAGAUAUGUUUCGUAUUGAGGCAAAUUUCGUUCAAAUACGCUAGUCAUUUUUUCCCUGAGGGUCAUUAUAUGUGUGUGUGUGUGCUACAAUUUACUUUUUGCUUCUUGAUUCUCUGCUUGUAAGGAAAUCACUAUGUAUGGAAAAUACUACCUAAAAACAUGACUAUACCCUGUGUUCAUGUGACGGGGAAACUAAAGAAAAAAAUGCUGAUAUGAAUGGAAGAGAGGGAGAGAGAAAGAGAGAGAGAAAUAGAUACAGAUAAGUAGAUAGAUAGACAGAUAGAGAGAGAAAAUCUGACAACUACCAACAGACCUUACUCACGUUUUCUACCCUUAACACAACACACUGUACAAGAGAUAUGUGAGGGAUGGCAGUAGUAGUAGUAGUAGCAGUAGUAGUAGUAGUAGUGCAUGGCUGGACCUAACGCUUAUAUUAUGCUAUCGUUUGGAAGACAUGCUGACUGCUCUGUGCUGGUGUGGUGACUCUACUCUUGACGUCCAACUUUAUCUCUAUAUACUAAAAAAAAGGAGCGAGUUGUAUUAGACUUCGUAAGGGUGAACUUGAAAGACAAUUGAUGGAAGAGAGACAGAGAGCCAGACAAAGAAAGAGAAAAAAAAAAAAAUAUAUAUAUAUAUAUAACAUCCCCAUUUCAAGGACACUCCAGCUACCAAAUAAGGAAAAAAUUGCAACUCUUUCUCCGCAAAUAUUUCCCACCAUCGUCUUUGGGGUUCACUUUUACAAGCAUAUCUCUGACUAUCAUUGCCUUUUUAGCCGUGCCUUGACUCGUCAUUCAUCAAACAAGUUCACUCAGCGAGAAAACAUGAUCAUUGGUUAUUAUUUUCUUUUGCAUGUAAAGUUUCGACAGUAAAGACGUUGGAUUGUUGGAAUGGACACUGCGGUUGUAGGGUUGGGUAUAGAAAAUUUUGACUCCAACUAUGACUCCAGGGAAUUUUAAGGUUGCAUUAUUAUUAUUAUUAUGUAUUUAUUUAUCUAUCUAUUGGUUCUCCACCUGAAAUUGACCUCUCUUUUGGCCAGUCGUUCUUUCUCCUCUUUUUUUAGUGUUUUUCAUUUUUGCCCAUGAGCCGCCUUCCUUGCUGUGAAAGUAAGAAUAAAAGAAAAGAGUGGCUUCCAUCUUGCUCACUAUUAUCAUUAUCAUUAUGUAUUUGUUUAUUUAUUUCAUCUUCUUCCCUCUUCUUCCACAGCUAAAAAGGCAAUUAUACGAGACAUGUUCACCCUAUGGCCAGAUGCCUGAGUGGCCUAGUGC